AUUGAACGCUGGCGGCAUGCCUUACACAUGCAAGUCGAACGGUAACAGGCCUUCGGAUGCUGACGAGUGGCGAACGGGUGAGUAAUACAUCGGAACGUGCCUAGUAGUGGGGGAUAACUACUCGAAAGAGUGGCUAAUACCGCAUGAGAUCUACGGAUGAAAGCAGGGGAUCGCAAGACCUCGUGCUACUAGAGCGGCCGAUGGCAGAUUAGGUAGUUGGUGGGAUAAAAGCUUACCAAGCCGACGAUCUGUAGCUGGUCUGAGAGGACGAUCAGCCACACUGGGACUGAGACACGGCCCAGACUCCUACGGGAGGCAGCAGUGGGGAAUUUUGGACAAUGGGCGAAAGCCUGAUCCAGCAAUGCCGCGUGCAGGAUGAAGGCCUUCGGGUUGUAAACUGCUUUUGUACGGAACGAAAAGCCCCGGGUUAAUACCCUGGGGUCAUGACGGUACCGUAAGAAUAAGCACCGGCUAACUACGUGCCAGCAGCCGCCGUAA
rnacentral:rRNA from 1 species